AGCAGUUCUCUUGCCUCAGCCUCCCAAGUAACUGGUACUACAGUUUGUCCUCGGCUGUUACAGAGAAUUGAUACAAAAAAUGAUCAUGUGAAGAAUUUGCAUCUUCUGCAGAACUACCGGUAUCAGUCAGCAGUAGGAGAUUGUAUAAAUUCAGCCUGAGAUUCCAGAAUAUUCUGUGUAUUGACCACCACAGCAAGAAGAAAAAGUCCAUGUAGGACUGAAAUAAUCCUGGCUUGCUCGUGUGGUCACAAAGGAGCUGGAAUGGAAUGUAGGGACGUGGCUGGGCCCUGUUCUGUGUAUGAUUGGAGACUGGCCAUUCAAGCAUUUCAAGCAUUUGCUGUGCUUGGGAACUACCAGGUCUGAGAGGCUCAGAGAGGACCAACUUUGACAUAUGGAAGAAUUUCUUCAGUGCAAAUUAUUCCAGAGGAGAAAAACAAAACAUGAUUUGCAAAUGCUGUCAAGGAAAUGUUUCUUUCAAAAGGCUACGAGCAGGAUAUAUUGGUGUGUGAGGAUUGUCUUAAAGCAAGGAAUGACACUCUGCUUACAAGCUUAAAAUCGCUGGACUACAAAGUUACAGUGAUCAAGUCAGUACAGUAUUAGCACGUGGAUAGACUCACAGAUCUUUGGCACAGACCUGACAAUCCUGAAAAGCUCAUCUUUAUAUGGCUAAUUGAUUUUCA
rnacentral:lncRNA from 1 species